rnacentral:rRNA from 1 species
ACUCCUACGGGAGGCAGCAGUGGGGAAUAUUGCACAAUGGGCGCAAGCCUGAUGCAGCCAUGCCGCGUGUAUGAAGAAGGCCUUCGGGUUGUAAAGUACUUUCAGCAGUGAGGAAGGCGGAGUCGUUAAUAGCGGCCUCGUUUGACGUUAGCUGCAGAAGAAGCACCGGCUAACUCCGUGCCAGCAGCCGCGGUAAUACGGAGGGUGCGAGCGUUAAUCGGAAUUACUGGGCGUAAAGCGCAUGCAGGUGGUUUGUUAAGUCAGAUGUGAAAGCCCGGGGCUCAACCUCGGAAUUGCAUUUGAAACUGGCAGACUAGAGUACUGUAGAGGGGGGUAGAAUUUCAGGUGUAGCGGUGAAAUGCGUAGAGAUCUGAAGGAAUACCGGUGGCGAAGGCGGCCCCCUGGACAGAUACUGACACUCAGAUGCGAAAGCGUGGAAGCAAACAGGAUUAGAUACCCUGGUAGGAUAGCG